rnacentral:rRNA from 1 species
UAGGGAAUAUUGGGCAAUGGAGGGAACUCUGACCCAGCCAUGCCGCGUGCAGGAUGAAGGCGUUAUGCGUUGUAAACUGCUUUUAUAUAGGAAGAAAUAGUCCUUGCGAGGAAAGUUGACGGUACUAUAUGAAUAAGCACCGGCUAACUCCGUGCCAGCAGCCGCGGUAAUACGGAGGGUGCAAGCGUUGUCCGGAUUUAUUGGGUUUAAAGGGUGCGUAGGCGGUUUAUUAAGUCAGUGGUGAAAGACGGUCGCUCAACGAUUGCAGUGCCAUUGAUACUGGUAGACUUGAGUAUGAUUGAGGUAGCUGGAAUGGAUAGUGUAGCGGUGAAAUGCAUAGAUAUUAUCCAGAACACCAAUUGCGUAGGCAAGUUACUAAGUCAUAACUGACGCUGAGGCACGAAAGUGUGGGUAUCAAACAGGAUUAGAUACCCAUGUAGUCCCUGAGCGGGCUGGCAAGGCGCAU